CGCACAUUGCGCCCCUUGGUAUUCCGAGGGGCAUGCCUGUUCGAGCGUCAUUACACCACUCAAGCUCGGCUUGGUAAUGGGUGCUCGCCCCUAGGGGCGCGCCCGAAAGUUAGUGGCGGUGCCGCCUGGCCUCAAGCGUAGUAAUCAUCUUUUCGCUUUGGAGGUUAGGUGUGUUGCUUGCCAUUCAAUCCCCCAAUUUCAAAGGUUGACCUCGGAUCAGGUAGGGAUACCCGCUGAACUUAA
rnacentral:misc_RNA from 1 species